UCCACAGGACCUUGCAGUGGGAUUUCAUCUGCACCAUCAGCUUCUUCAGAGAGAGAGGUUGUUGACUCUUCAUGUGGAUGUCUGAGCUCAUAUCAGGUGUCUGAAAGAGGCAGAUUCUGAGGAUUUGGGUCAUGAUGGCUGCCAAAGCUUCUGCUCCUGACUUAAAGGGCAACAAUCCUAGGAGACCACCAGCACUUACAUCCCUGGUAGGACAUGACACCUGCUUAUGGCUCAGAAGUGACAAAAGAGAAUUAUCAGGAUGGCAGUCCUUAUAACCAGAUGCUUAUCAACAUUCUUCACUACAUUCUGAAGAUGAAUUUCUACAAGGGAAAUUGUUUAUGUAAGUGGUGUGUACCCUUUGAUAUGUAUUGACAUAGUGGCACACAUAGAGUUGUGCCAUUUAGACUCCCCAAGGGGAGGCAUGUGAGGUCGGCCACAGAGGACUGAAGAAAUUAGUUAAUGCUGACAUCCUAUCACAUAGGGUGGGUCCUGGACUCCGUCAUGGACCUGCUGUCAUGCCAUUGCCACAAUUGGAAGACGUGGAAGUGAUCAGAUGCAAUCAAAUUUUGUACACAAGCACAUCCUGAUGUAGCGAUGAGGGGAAGGGGGAAGAGGAAUGAUCAUUGCUUGGAGUUACAGGACAGAGGCAGCAGGGCUAGGACACAGGCACUCUUUAUACGCAUUCAUUUUUUUUUUUUUUUUUUUUUUUGAGACGCAGUAUCGCCUGUUGCCAGGCUGGAAUGCAAUGGUGUGAUCUCAGCUCACUGCAACCUCCGCCUCCUGGGUUCAAGCGAUUCUCCUGCCUCAGCCUCCUGAGUAGCUAGGACUGUAGGUGCGCACCACCACGCCCAGCUAAUUUUUUGCAUUUUUAGUAUAGUCGAGGUUUCACCAUGUUGGCCAGGAUGGUCUCCAUCUCUUGAGCUCGUAAUCCGCCUGCCUCGGCCUCCCACAGUGCUGGGAUUACAGGCGUCAGCCACCACACCCGGCCCUAUAUGCGUUCAUUUUUAUGUAAAACAUAUGCAUCAAUUCUUUUGUAUGAAAACGUUUGGUCAUUACUGUGGUACAACAGAAGACCAGGUCAGUACCAUAUUUUUUUUUUCAUAUGUACACAGAUUUUUAUUUUGUUUUAGACAUUGUCUUACACACAAUAGACAUUCAGUAUUUGUUGAAAUUAAUGAAAGAAAAGAGAAACAUAAAAACGGUCUGAGAAGACAAUAAUCUGCUUUUUAAUUUAUAGACAGCAAUUAGGUCAAACAAUUAUAACAAUGAUGACAAAGAACAAUAUCUGAGGUACACUCAAAACCUUAUGAGGGUUAUUUGCCAGUUUUCCUGGCUAUUUCUACACCCUUUGAUCUCUAGUGAAUGUUUCUACUUACAACUACAUAUUUUGUAAGUUUUGCCUACUGUAUUUCAAUCAACACUGUAAAAAAUGAAGAGAGUCUUUUUGGUUCAGAUUUGGUUUUUAGUUAAUUAUGUGAUGUGUAUAUGAUUUUUUGUUACCUUUUCUGUAUAGAUAUCAGGAGAAUCGAAAAUAUGUUGAUGGUGGAAUUGUGGUAUGACAUUUUUACUGACUACUACUCUGCAAAAGUUUUAUCUAUGAGCUCUAUGGGUUGUUCCUGGCUUUUGAAAAUUUACUUUAAGGAAGUGUUUUUGGAAAUGGAUUAUAAGUAUACAAGUAUGCAAUCUUAUGUAUUUGCAACUGUCUAAGAUGUUAUGAUACUUUCCUCCCUGCAAUCUGGCAUUCAUCCAUUCAAGACAUUUUAAUUGAACUCUUACAAUGUUCUUAAUACUAUGAUAAGCCCUGAAGGUAAACUGUGACUAAAAAUGUUGCAGGAUAAAAUACAGGAUUCCUAGUUAAAUUUGAAUUUUAGAUAAGCAACAUUCUUAUACUAAAAAUUAUUCCAUGUUUAUCUGAAAUUCAAAUUUAGCUGAGUGUCCUGUAACUUUUUAUUUUAUUUGUUUACUUGUUUGUCUGUGAUAAAUAUGGCAGCCCUAGAAAAAUAAAUAUAGCCCCUGA
rnacentral:lncRNA from 1 species